rnacentral:lncRNA from 1 species
UUAGAUCCACAUUCGCAGGCAUCCCAGUGGAAAACAGAGUCUUCUUUCCCAUGGGGAAAUCCCCACCAUCCUGCGAAUUAUCAUGUGCCCCCAUGAUUCUUCUUGUGUUGUACUUUCACUCGCAAGCUUCUUCUCACAUUAGCGUGUGUUCGCAGGACUCCUCCUUUUGGUGGGAUCAUUUAAACUCAUGGAUUGAUGUUUGCUCGUCAGAAAUGUUUCGAUUGUUGGGAGGUCUU